GAUGAACGCUGGCGGCGUGCCUAAUACAUGCAAGUCGAACGAACGGACGAGAAUCUUGCUUCUCUGAUGUUAGCGGCGGGCGUGUGAAUAACACGUGGAUACCCUCCCUAUAAGACUGGGAUAACUUCGGGACACCGGCUCUAAUACCGUAUGAUCUUUUGAACCACGUGGUUCAAAGGUGAGAUACGGUCUUGCGGUCACUUCUAGCGGGUUCCCCGCUUCAUUAGCUAGUUGUUAAGUUAACGGCUUACGAAGGCAACGAUGCAUAGCCGACCUGAGGGGGUGAUCGGCCACACUGGAACUGAGACACGGUCCAGACUACUACGGGAGGCAGCAGUAGGGAAUCUUCCGCAAUGGGCGAAAGCCUGACGGAGCAACGACGCGUGAGUGAUGAAGGUCUUCGGAUCGUAAAACUCUGUUAUUAGGGAAGAACAUAUGUGUAAGUAACUGUGCACAUCUUGACGGUACCUAAUCAGAAAGCCACGGCUAACUACGUG
rnacentral:rRNA from 1 species